UGGGGAAUCUUGGACAAUGGGGGAAACCCUGAUCCAGCCAUGCCGCGUGAGCGAUGACGGCCUUAGGGUUGUAAAGCUCUUUCACCGGUGACGAUAAUGACGGUAGCCGGAGAAGAAGCCCCGGCUAACUCCGUGCCAGCAGCCGCGGUAAUACGGAGGGGGCUAGCGUUGUUCGGAAUUACUGGGCGUAAAGCGCGCGUAGGCGGACUUUUAAGUCGGGGGUGAAAUCCCGGGGCUCAACCCCGGAACUGCCUUCGAUACUGGAAGUCUUGAGGUCGAGAGAGGCGAGUGGAAUACCGAGUGUAGAGGUGAAAUUCGUAGAUAUUCGGUGGAACACCAGUGGCGAAGGCGGCUCGCUGGCUCGAUACUGACGCUGAGGUGCGAAAGCGUGGGGAGCAAACAGGAUUAGAUACCCCCGUAGUCC
rnacentral:rRNA from 1 species